GAUGAAGAACGCAGCGAAAUGCGAUAAGUAAUGUGAAUUGCAGAAUUCAGUGAAUCAUCGAAUCUUUGAACGCAUCUUGCGCUCCUUGGUAUUCCUUGGAGCAUGCCUGUUUGAGUAUCAUGAGCAAAUCUCAAAGUCAAUUCCUUUUGUUGAUUCAAUUGGUUUUGCUUUGGACUUGGAGGCCUUGCAGAUUUCACAGUCUGCUCCUCUUAAAUGCAUUAGCUGGAUCUCAGUAAUUAUGCUUGGUUCCACUCGGCGUGAUAAGUAUCACUCGCUGAGGACACUGUUAAAAAGGUGGCCAGGAAAAUACUGAUUGAACCGCUUCUAACGGUCUAUUAAGUUAGCCAAUUACCCUUAAGUUUGAUCUCAAAUCAGGUAGGACUACCCGCUGAACUUAAGCAUAUCAAUAAGCGGAGGA
rnacentral:misc_RNA from 1 species